rnacentral:rRNA from 1 species
AACGAACGCUGGCGGCAUGCCUAACACAUGCAAGUCGAACGGGAUCCUAGCUUGCUAGGUGAGAGUGGCGGACGGGUGAGUAACACGUGGGAAUCUGCCUUUUGGUUCGGGAUAACCGCGGGAAACUGCGGCUAAUACCGAAUGCCCUCGUGAGAGGAAAGAUUUAUCGCCAGAAGAGGAGCCCGCGUCCGAUUAGGUAGUUGGUGGGGUAAAGGCCUACCAAGCCGACGAUCGGUAGCUGGUCUGAGAGGAUGAUCAGCCACACUGGGACUGAGAUACGGCCCAGACUCCUACGGGAGGCAGCAGUGGGGAAUAUUGGACAAUGGGGGCAACCCUGAUCCAGCAAUGCCGCGUGAGUGAUGAAGGCCUUAGGGUUGUAAAGCUCUUUUGCCAGGGAAGAUGAUGACUGUACCUGGAGAAUAAGCCCCGGCUAACUUCGUGCCAGCAGCCGCGGU